rnacentral:rRNA from 1 species
GACGAACGCUGGCGGCGUGCUUAACACAUGCAAGUCGAACGCUGAAGCUCAGCUUUUGUUGGGUGGAUGAGUGGCGAACGGGUGAGUAACACGUGAGUAACCUGCCCCCUUCUUUGGGAUAACGCCCGGAAACGGGUGCUAAUACUGGAUAUUCACUGGUCUUCGCAUGGGGGUUGGUGGAAAGGGUUUUUCUGGUGGGGGAUGGGCUCGCGGCCUAUCAGCUUGUUGGUGGGGUGAUGGCCUACCAAGGCUUUGACGGGUAGCCGGCCUGAGAGGGUGACCGGUCACAUUGGGACUGAGAUACGGCCCAGACUCCUACGGGAGGCAGCAGUGGGGAAUAUUGCACAAUGGGCGCAAGCCUGAUGCAGCGACGCCGCGUGAGGGAUGGAGGCCUGCGGGUGUGAACCUCUUUCGCUCAUGGUCAAGCCGCAACAAUGGUUGUGGUGAGGGUAGUGGGUAAAGAAGCGCCGGCUAACUACGU